GAGCACGUAGGUGGGUUUGUAAGUCAGAUGUGAAAGCCUUCUGUUCAACGGAAGAAUUGCAUCUGAAACUGCUAAUCUUGAGUAUAGGGGGGGAGAAUGGAACUUCUGGUGGAGCGGUGAAAUGCGUAGAUAUCAGAAGGAACGCCGGCGGCGAAAGCGAUUCUCUGGCCUAUUACUGACACUCAGUGUGCGAAAGCUAGGGGAGCAAACGGGAUUAGAUACCCCGGUAGUCCUAGCCGUAAACGAUGGGCACUAAGUAGAGGGAAUUACCUAUAUUCUCUCUGCCGUAGCUAACGCAUUAAGUGCCCCGCCUGGGGAGUACGGCCGCAAGGCUAAAACUCAAAAGAAUUGACGGGGGCUCGCACAAGCGGUGGAGCAUGUGGCUUAAUUCGAUGCAACGCGAAAAACCUUACCGGGGCUUGACAUGAUAGAAGUAGGAACCUGAAAGGGGGACGAACGGUAUCCAGUCCGUAGCUAUUACAGGUGUUGCAUGGCUGUCGUCAGCUCGUGUCGUGAGACGUUGGGUUAAGUCCCCUAACGAGCGAAACCCUUGUUUUUAGUUACCAGCGGGUUAUGCCGGGUACUCUAGAAAGACUGCCGUCGUCAAGACGGAGGAAGGUGGGGAUGACGUCAAGUCAUCAUGGCCCUUAUGCCCCGGGCUGCACACGUGCUACAAUGGUCGGUACAGACGGAAGCGAAGCCGAGAGGUGAAGCGAAUCC
rnacentral:rRNA from 1 species